GCUGAUGACAUACUCACAAAGAGGUAACAUGAGGACCAGUUGUCCUACAAUUAAAUGAGCACAGAAGAAGUAAAAAGUUAUCUAAUUACUUGUAUGUUCAUACAUUUCAUGUGCAUAAUUAAAAAUAAAUUAUAAAGUCUAGAAGAAACCUGAAACUACUUUCUUUGCCAUUAAUAUUUCAUUCUGCUGGUCUUGAAGUUGUUUUAUUGGCAUUUCCAUUUCAUAGUUUACCAGUCUUACUUUCAAAACUGCCUUUGCUAUUCUGGAAGGUUAGGUUAGACAUCAGUUCAGAUGAAGUUGAGUAAAUAUUCCAGAAGUGUAUUUUUGCUCUGCCAUCAUUUUCACUGCUAAAUUUAUAAAAUAAGCAAAUAUAAGAAUGGCGUCUGUACAAAUGCUAAAAUGUGCAUUUUCCUGUGAGCAUUUUGGGAACUGGCCAUACUUGAAAGGUGCCCACAGUGGUGAGACUACACAGUCAAUGUCAGUCUUGGGUAUGAGCCCUGCCUUCUGAACACUUCUGCCCUCUCUUUGUGCAUCAAGGUCAGUCAAGGACAAAGACUGGAAAAAUGGCAUCAUGGCAGUCGGCAAAAUAUGACAUUAGAUAAUCAUGGAGGGGACAACGAAGCUCUGUAUAGAGAAAGGAUGAGGAACAGGGCAACUACCUAACAAUGUAGGGAGGACAAGGAUAGCUGUACAGGUUUGACUUGGAGACGGCCAUGACUGUGACAGUCGACAUGAUUCCACAGCAGCAAUUCACUUCGACUGUUUUACUGCUAACACCGAACGCCUUUGGCACGGUGCUUAACCUGAGUACCCUUCGCCGUGAAUUUAGUUGAUUUCUCCUUUUUUUUUUUUUUUUUUUUUUCUCUUGGAGAAAUUCCUUUUAAAGUAAAACAGUAGUUCCUCCCCAUCUUCCCUCUCCUUGGUAAAUGCCGUCCCUGUUAGUCCGGGUCUGUUCUUGCAGUCAGUACCGAACGCCAGUGGCCGUUUACUUGCCGCGGGGCAGGUCGGUGUCGGCAGCUCCGGGCACUGCGCCGGGUACCCUGCGCUCCGGAAAGACGCUUCCUCCUCUCGCUGCAGCUGGCGCUCUGCUCGCUGCCCCUCUCCACCGGCGCCAUCCCCAGGACACUCCCGGCCGGCAGCAGCGUCCAGGUGCGCCGGGCGGGGCUGCGGCUCGACCCGCCCCCGCGGCGCCCGGGGCGGGACCGGUGCCUGCCACCGCAGCCCCGCGACGACGAGCAGCAGAAACUCGGUUCCGUUCUGCUCCGCGCCGCCGCCGAGUCCGCCGCUCGCUCCGCCGCCACCAUGUCCCUCUGCAGGGCUGCCUCGCAGGCGCUGGCCUCCCGCCUGAGCAGGGCUCCCGCGGCCGCCAGCCGCCUCAAGCAGCGUGCACCUCCUCGCCAGAUGUCAUCUGGGAGUGUUCCUGGUUCUUCUGGAGACAGCAUGAUGAUCUAUCUCCUUGCUGGUGUUGCUGCUUUUGGUGGUUUAUUUUAUGCCUACAGAGUAGUCAGUUCAUCCCGUAG
rnacentral:lncRNA from 13 species